CUCUGAUGAUUAGUUAUGAUGAACAUUUGUUCAUGUUUGUUGGCUACUUUUAUGUCUUCUUUUGAGAAGUAUCUGUUCAUACCCUUUGCCCACUAUUUAAUGGGGUUAUAUGUGUUUUGCUUGUUGAUAUGUUUUAGUUCAUUCUUGAUUCUGGAUAUUAGACCUUUGUUGGAUGCAUAGUUUGUGAAUAUUUUCCCCCAUUCUUUAGGUUGUCUUUUUACUUCCUUGAUAGUUUAUCUUGCUGUGCAGAAGCUCUUUAGUUUAAUUAGGUCCUAUUUGUCCAUUUUUGCUCCAAAAUUUUAUGGCAGUUUGUUUUAUAUAUGCUUCAUUUUUUUAAAAAAAAUCUUCCUAAGAAGGUCAUGGAAAGUGAAUGCAUCUUAAAAACUGUCCAAAUUACUCUGCUUUCAAAUUUGCAAGUAAUCUUUCCUCCUAAUCUACUCAUGUAAUUACUCUGUUUUGAAAUUUUGUACUGACUCUUUUUCACUUUUCAAAUGAAAACAAAACCUAUUUCAAAUGAAAAAACUAGGUAGAGCCACACUGUUCAAGACAGUAGCCACUGGCUACAUGUGGCUAUUUCCAUUUAAAUUUUAAAAAUAAAAUAAUUAAAAUUUCACUUCCUCACUUGCUCAACAGCCACAUGUGACUAGUAGCUACCAUUUGGACAUCAUAGAUAUAGGACUUUCGUAGAUAGUUCUGGACAGCACUGAUCAACAUUUCUAACUGUUCCCAUCCCUGGACGUGCUCCCUUCCACAUGUGCUAGCCUCUUCUUAGAAUACCCUUCUCCCUUUCUUUGGCUAAUUCUCACUUAUUCCAUGUGGUGAACAGGUCUAUGCAAACCUAACUCCGAAAGCCAAGGGAGCUAACAGGCCAAAGAAAGAGGUUGACAAAUCCAGUUUCUCAGAAAAAAAAAAAAUUUUUUUAGGGACUUAGGAACAGAAGCAAGGUCUCUGGUGGCCAUGAGACGGUGGAUUCCUACACUUGUAGCAAGAUUUUAGAGUAAAACAUGUGCAGUUGGUCAUGUUUCAGAUUUUCUUGUGAAACUUGUGACUAUUGGGAAGGUUAGGGAAGCAUCUUUUUCAGGCUAUCUACACUAUAACAUUGCUCUUGUUUAUAUACAUAUAUA
rnacentral:lncRNA from 10 species